rnacentral:rRNA from 1 species
GCUGGAAUCUCUCGGGGUUACAGCCUUGCUGAAUUAUUCACCCUUGUCUUUUGCGUACUUCUUGUUUCCUUGGUGGGUUCGCCCACCACUAGGACAAACAUAAACCUUUUGUAAUUGCAAUCAGCGUCAGUAACAAAUUAAUAAUUACAACUUUCAACAACGGAUCUCUUGGUUCUGGCAUCGAUGAAGAACGCAGCGAAAUGCGAUAAGUAGUGUGAAUUGCAGAAUUCAGUGAAUCAUCGAAUCUUUGAACGCACAUUGCGCCCUUUGGUAUUCCAAAGGGCAUGCCUGUUCGAGCGUCAUUUGUACCCUCAAGCUUUGCUUGGUGUUGGGCGUCUUGUCUCUAGCUUUGCUGGAGACUCGCCUUAAAGUAAUUGGCAGCCGGCCUACUGGUUUCGGAGCGCAGCACAAGUCGCACUCUCUAUCAGCAAAGGUCUAGCAUCCAUUAAGCCUUUUUUCAACUUUUGACCUCGGAUCAGGUAGGGAUACCCGCUGAACUUAAGCAUAUCAAUA